GACGAACGCUGGCGGCGUGCUUAACACAUGCAAGUCGAACGAUGAAGCCGGAGCUUGCUCUGGUGAAUUAGUGGCGAACGGGUGAGUAACACGUGAGUAACCUGCCCUUGACUCUGGGAUAACUGCGGGAAACUGUAGCUAAUACCGGAUAUGACACCUUGGGGCAUCCCGAGGUGUGGAAAGAAUUUCGGUCAAGGAUGAGCUCGCGGCCUAUCAGCUUGUUGGUGAGGUAACGGCUCACCAAGGCGACGACGGGUAGCCGGCCUGAGAGGGUGACCGGCCACACUGGAACUGAGACACGGUCCAGACUCCUACGGGAGGCAGCAGUGGGGAAUAUUGCACAAUGGGCGAAAGCCUGAUGCAGCAACGCCGCGUGAGGGAUGACGGCCUUCGGGUUGUAAACCUCUUUUAGCAGGGAAGAAGCGAAAGUGACGGUACCUGCAGAAAAAGCACCAGCUAACUACGUGCCAGCCGCCGCCGUAA
rnacentral:rRNA from 1 species